CCAACAACCACAACGACCACACCACCAACUACAACGACCACAGCACCAACGACAAUAACUACAGCACCAAGUACAACAACGACCACACCACCAACUACAACAACGACCACAGCACCAACUACAACAACGACCACAGCACCAACCACAACAACCACGGCACCAACCACAACAACAACAACAGCACCAACUACAACAACCGUAGUACCAACAACAACGACCACAGCACCAACUACAACAACCACGGCACCAACAUCAACGACCACAGCACCAAUUACAAUGACCACUGCACCAGUUAUAACCACACCACCAACUACAAUCACAACCAAUGCACCUCCAACAACCACUAUGAAUGUUGCCCUUGCAACGAGAGUUGUGACUUUCAGAUCAGUUGGUGAGACAUUUACAGUGGAUUUGGCUAAUUCAUCAUCACAAGGUUUUAGAAAUCGUGCAUCUUUGAUAAAGCAACAGCUUGAACCCUUUUUCCGAAAUCAGUUUUCUUCUUCUUUCAACUCCUUGGAUGUUGUGUCUUUCAGGAAUGGAUCAAUCAUCAAUAUCAUGGACGUAAGAUUUGCACAAGCAUCUGUUCCUAACAACACUGGCAUUCAGAAUGUUUUGAUCAAUGCAUCUCAGACCGUUAC